GAUGAACGCUAGCGGCAGGCUUAACACAUGCAAGUCGAGGGGCAGCGGGAUGUAGCAAUACAUUGCCGGCGACCGGCGCAAGGGUGCGUAACGCGUGAGCAACAUGCCCGUCACAGGAGGAUAAACCAUGGAAACGUGGCCUAAUACUCCAUAGUAUAUCAGAGAGGCAUCUUUUUGAUAUUAAAGCUUCGGUGGUGACGGAUUGGCUCGCGUGACAUUAGCUAGAUGGCGGGGUAACGGCCCACCAUGGCGACGAUGUCUAGGGGUUCUGAGAGGAAGGUCCCCCACACUGGAACUGAGACACGGUCCAG
rnacentral:rRNA from 1 species